GAUGAACGCUGGCGGCGUGCCUAAUACAUGCAAGUCGAGCGAACAGACCAGUCGCUUGCUCCUCUGACGUUAGCGGCGGACGGGUGAUUACCACUUGGAUAACCUACCUAUAAGACUGUGAUAACUUCGGGAAACCGGCGCUAAUACCGGAUAAUAUAUUGAACCGCAUGGUUCAAUAGUUAAAGACGGUUUUGCUUUCACUUAUAGCUUGAUCCGCGCCUCAUUAGCUAGUUGGUAAGGUAACUGCUUACCAAGGCAACGAGGCGUAGCCGACCUGAGAGGGUGAAUGGAAAGACGGGAACUGAGAAACGGCCGAGACACCUACGGGAGGAAGCAGUAGGGAAUCUUCCGCAAGGGGCGAAAGCCCGACGGAGCAACGCCGCGUGAGUGAUGAAGGACUUAGGAUCGUAAAACUCUGUUAUUAGGGAAGAACAAAUGUGUAAGUAACUAUGCACGUCUUGACGGUACCUAAUCAGAAAGCCACGGCUAACUACGUG
rnacentral:rRNA from 1 species